rnacentral:rRNA from 1 species
AUUGAACGCUGGCGGCAUGCCUUACACAUGCAAGUCGAACGGCAGCGGACCUUCGGGUGCCGGCGAGUGGCGAACGGGUGAGUAAUAUAUCGGAACGUACCUUUCAGUGGGGGAUAACGUAGCGAAAGUUACGCUAAUACCGCAUAUUCUGUGAGCAGGAAAGCAGGGGAUCGCAGGACCUUGCGCUGAUUGAGCGGCCGAUAUCAGAUUAGCUAGUUGGUGAGGUAAAGGCUCACCAAGGCGACGAUCUGUAGCGGGUCUGAGAGGAUGAUCCGCCACACUGGAACUGAGACACGGUCCAGACUCCUACGAGAGGCAGCAGUGGGGAAUUUUGGACAAUGGGCGCAAGCCUGAUCCAGCCAUGCCGCGUGAGUGAAGAAGGCCU